AUUGAACGCUGGCGGCAGGCUUAACACAUGCAAGUCGAGCGGUAGCACAGGGGAGCUUGCUCCCUGGGUGACGAGCGGCGGACGGGUGAGUAAUGUCUGGGAAACUGCCUGAUGGAGGGGGAUAACUACUGGAAACGGUAGCUAAUACCGCAUAACGUCGCAAGACCAAAGAGGGGGACCUUCGGGCCUCUUGCCGUCAGAUGUGCCCAGAUGGGAUUAGCUAGUAGGUGGGGUAAUGGCUCACCUAGGCGACGAUCCCUAGCUGGUCUGAGAGGAUGUCCGGCCACACUGGAACUGAGACACGGUCCAGACUCCUACGGGAGGCAGCAGUGGGGAAUAUUGCACAAUGGGCGCAAGCCUGAUGCAGCCAUGCCGCGUGUGUGAAGAAGGCCUUCGGGUUGUAAAGCACUUUCAGCGAGGAGGAAGGUGGUGAACUUAAUACGUUCAUCAAUUGACGUUACUCGCAGAAGAAGUACCGGCUAACUCCGUG
rnacentral:rRNA from 1 species